UACGAAGGGGGCUAGCGUUGCUCGGAAUCACUGGGCGUAAAGCGCACGUAGGCGGAUCUUUAAGUCAGGGGUGAAAUCCUGGAGCUCAACUCCAGAACUGCCUUUGAUACUGGGGAUCUCGAGUCCGGGAGAGGUGAGUGGAACUCCGAGUGUAGAGGUGAAAUUCGUAGAUAUUCGGAAGAACACCAGUGGCGAAGGCGGCGCACUGGCCCGGUACUGACGCUGAGGUGCGAAAGCGUGGGGAGCAAACAGG
rnacentral:rRNA from 1 species